CCUACGUGGUGCAGCAGUGGGGAAUAUUGCGCAAUGGGCGAAAGCCUGACGCAGCGACGCCGCGUGAGGGAUGAAGGUCUUCGGAUCGUAAACCUCUGUCAGCAGGGACAAACGGUCACUGUGCUAAUCAGCAGUGAAUUGACGGUACCUGCAAAGGAAGCACCGGCUAACUCCGUGCCAGCAGCCGCGGUAAUACGGAGGUUGCGAGCGUUAAUCGGAAUUACUGGGCGUAAAGCGCUCGUAGGCGGUAUGUCAAGUCAAGGGUGAAAUCCCCGCGCUCAACGUGGGAACUGCCUUUGAAACUGGCAAACUGGAGUGUGCGAGAGGAUAGUGGAAUUCCAGGUGUAGGAGUGAAAUCCGUAGAUAUCUGGAGGAACAUCAGUGGCGAAGGCGACUAUCUGGCACAUAACUGACGCUGAGGAGCGAAAGCGUGGGUAGCAAACAGGAUUAGAUACCCCAGUAGUC
rnacentral:rRNA from 1 species